AUUGAACGCUGGCGGCAUGCUUUACACAUGCAAGUCGAACGGCAGCGCGGGGGCAACCCUGGCGGCGAGUGGCGAACGGGUGAGUAAUGCAUCGGAACGUAUCCUGUAAUGGGGGAUAACGUAGCGAUAGUUACGCUAAUACCGCAUACGCUCGAGAGAGGAAAGUGGGGGAUCGCAAGACCUCACGUUAUAGGAGCGGCCGAUGUCUGAUUAGCUAGUUGGUGGGGUAAAGGCCUACCAAGGCGACGAUCGGUAGCUGGUCUGAGAGGAUGAUCAGCCACACUGGGACUGAGACACGGCCCAGACUCCUACGGGAGGCAGCAGUGGGGAAUUUUGGACAAUGGGCGAAAGCCUGAUCCAGCAAUGCCGCGUGCGGGAAGAAGGCCUUCGGGUUGUAAACCGCUUUAGUCCGGGAAAAAGGGGUGCGAGGAUAAUACCCUUGUGCUUUGAUGGUACUGGAAGAAUAAGCACCGGCUAACUACGUGCCAGCAGCCGCGGUAAUACGUAGGGUGCGAGCGUUAAUCGGAAUUACUGGGCGUAAAGCGUGCGCAGGCGGUCUUGUAAGACAGUCGUGAAAGCCCCGGGCUUAACCUGGGAACUGCGAUUGUGACUGCAAGGCUAGAGUGUGUCAGAGGGGGGUGGAAUUCCACGUGUAGCAGUGAAAUGCGUAGAGAUGUGGAGGAACACCGAUGGCGAAGGCAGCCCCCUGGGAUAACACUGACGCUCAUGCACGAAAGCGUGGGGAGC
rnacentral:rRNA from 1 species